rnacentral:rRNA from 1 species
GGGCCCGCACAAGCGGUGGAGCAUGUGGUUUAAUUCGAUGAUACGCGAGGAACCUUACCAGGGCUUAAAUGUAAGUUGCAUAGAUCAGAGAUGGUCUUUUCUUCGGACUACUUACAAGGUGCUGCAUGGUUGUCGUCAGCUCGUGCCGUGAGGUGUCAGGUUAAGUCCUAUAACGAGCGCAACCCCUGUCGUUAGUUGCCAGCAAGUUAAGUUGGGCACUCUAGCGAGACUGCCAGUGCAAACUGUGAGGAAGGUGGGGAUGACGUCAAAUCAUCACGGCCCUUACGUCCUGGGCUACACACGUGCUACAAUGGCCGGUACAGAGAGCAGCCACUACGCGAGUAGGAGCGAAUCUAUAAAACCGGUCUCAGUUCGGAUCGCAGUCUGCAACUCGACUGCGUGAAGCUGGAAUCGCUAGUAAUCGGAUAUC